rnacentral:lncRNA from 1 species
UGCCACUGCCCACUGGUAUGUAUUCUCUCCCUCUGGUCAUACAAAUCUUCUAUUUUACUUUGUUUGUGAACUAAGUGAAAAGAGGAAAGUUAAUGGUUUAUCUUAAUGUAAUUAUUUGUUAAAUUAGUGAUACUUUUGCACAGACAUUUGUGAUACAUAUGUUUUAUUCUUCUUUUUAUCAACAUAACCUUUUUAUGAUGGCACGUGAAGGAGAUAGCAGAGGAAAAAAUAUUCUUUCAUUUUUUAAAUCAAAAGUUGAUAUAGCAAAAAGUAGUACACCUUCUCCAUCUAACCUUGGUACUUCAAUUCCAAAUGAGGAGCCUCCUUCUAAAUCUCAAAGAGUUGAAUUUGAUGAUACUAAUCUUGAGAGGGAUCCGGGGUUACGUAUUUCUAUACGAAAACAUCCUGUUAAUCAACGUGAUGAGGUUAGACGUCGAGCUUAUAUUAAAGUAGGGUUAUAUCAACCUAAUCUUUUAGAUUAUCCACGGCCGGAAUUAGGAAAACAAUAUCGUCGAUUUCAAUAUGCUUGAUUCAAAUAAUUUCCUUGGUUAGAGUAUUCCCCUUCUAAGGAUGCAAUAGGUACUUUUCCAUGAAGAACUGUCGGGCACAAUUUCAAUAGUACUUUUCCUUGAAUUUUUUUUGAAUAUUUUCCGAUUUAUGUAUACUUUUUUAUAAUCUAUAUAUUAGGUAUAAAAAUUCUUGGUUUAUGUAACUUUUACAUAUACAUGUUCUAUAAACUUUUUUUUUUGUAAUUCAUUAAAUAAAUUUUCAACCAGGGAAAAUUAAUAUCCUGGCUCCGCCCUUGUCACAUUAUUGAAUGGCUAUGACGAUGGGCUCAAAUACGUUCAGGACAUAGACCAGGUUCUAUCUGAUUCCAAGAAUAGCGGUUCACAAACUGUUGUAGAAAUCAUUGGUGCCAGUGCUAAGGAUGGCCAACCAGUCACAUGUUUGGUCUACACCAUGCUUUAUCCAUGGGCAGCUAAAGUGGCACACACUUUUCACAUCCCAUCCACGGUUCUUUGGAUCCAACUGGCCGCUGUUUUCGAUAUCUACUACUACUACUACUUCAAUGGUUACGGUGAUAACAUUAGAAAAAUAAGCAAUGAUUAUCCUUCGUCGUCUAUUGGAUUACCAGUUCUGCCACAACUGACUAGCCGUGAUCUUCCUUCCUUUAUGGUCUCUUCAAACUCUAGCUACUACAAAUUUGCACUGCCUGUAUUUGAAGACCGGGAUGAGGGUGACAGUGAAUGAAGAAGGAAUCGUUGAACAUGAUGAGAUCAAGAGGUGCAUAGAAGUGGUUAUGUUAGGUGGAGAGUUUGGGGAAGAACUGAAGAGAAAUGCUAAGAAAUGGAAGGAUUUGGCAAAGGAAGCUUUGAAGGUAGGUGGAUCACAUGAACCUCAGGACUUUUGUGGAGGAGGUUGAAGCAGACUUCUCCCUCUAGCUAGCUUAUGCUACUGAUAAGUGUUUUUACACCAGAAAUUCUAUUUAUUUACUAACUAUUAAUUGUUUCAUCAUCAUAUUAUUUGCAAGAAGUUUUGUUUUUCUAACCUUUUCAGUUUCCCAAUAUUUUGUAGUUCCUUUGUAAUACUCAAAACAAUAAUGCACGCCAAACAUGUUUGUCUAGGAGAUAUUGCACAUUAAGUGGUGGAACAUAGCUAAACUUAAAUUUCUUGACAAAUGAAUUAAUAUGAAUCCCACACAUAUUAAAUAAUUUUAAUUACACAUGCUAGUAUAGAUAGAGAAAUAAUCUAAUAUUCAAUUUGGAAUUCAUAGAGUGAAAACCCGAUUAGAAAUUCAAAAUCAAGGAUUAAAACUUUAAUGAUACUUCUUUUAUCGUAAUUUGUUAUUUCAUCUUUCCAUUUUAGAAACCAAAAUGCUUGUACGUAUAUGCCUUACACAUGGAGUUACGAUUCAGUAUUGCAGAGCUUAGGGGUGUACAUGAGUCGGUUCGGUUCGGUUUCAUGCCUAAUCCAGAACCGAACCAAUCAUCAUCGGUUCCAAUUUUUUAGAACCAGAACCGAAUCAAUCAGUAAUGGGAACCGAACCGAACCAAUCCAACUUGAUUCGGAUUGAUUCGGAUUGGUUUGGUUCGGUUCCAAUGUUCUAAAUGGAUAGGUUUGGUUCCACCUGUUACUAUUUUCAUUCUAAAAAAAUUAUUAAAACAUAAACUCAAAUAAAAGAAACAAAGUCUUCAACAUUAAAAAAAUUCACAAACAAGAGAAGAAAAUUAUUUAAACGGGGAAUUAUACGGUGUGGCUCGUCCACCUAAUCUUUAUAAGCUCGGUUUGUCGAUUCGAUUCCGAUUUCGGUUCGGUUCGGUUCUGGUUCAGAAAACAGUUAAUUCGAGAACCGAACCGAUAUGGUCAGUUCUAUAAUUUUCAGGAUCAAGACCGAACUAAAAGACUAUCAGAACCAAACCAACCCAAUCGAACGAAACCGAAAUAGCUCGAUUCUCAAAUUUUUCGGUUCAUUUAUGCACCCUAGCAGAGCUUCUGGAGCCAUUUAAAACGUAGGUCCCUCAAAUACUCUCACAUAAAAGGGAUUGGAGCGAAAACUCUUCUCAUUAAUGUUCCCAACUCCCAAGUACUUCAUAAAACUCAAUAAUAGCACGUGACCAGUGACCAGUGACCACUGACCGGUUACUAGUGAUUGGCUAGCCACAUGUAGCUCACUGACUGACAUAAAUAUUUAUGAAUUUUUUAAAUUAUCUGUCAUUCUUUAUGAUUAAUAUUUUAACUGAAAUUAUUUUUUUUUUAUAAAUAUUCACUUUCUUCUUUUUAGAAGUGUAAGUCCACAUAGAUUGUGAUUUAAUGAAUAAAAAUUUUUUAAAGUUGAGUAAUUUUUUUACCAAUUAAAUUAUUUUUUAGUGGGAUUCAUACCAAAAAAAACUAAAAUACUAUUUUUUCGUUUUUUUCUAAAACAUCAUUUUUCUCAACUAGAUUCCAUAUUUACAAAAGAAAAAAUAUUAGUUAAUUGAUUAGUUAAUGACCCUAUUUUUGGCUCUGCCACGUACUUGGAGUUGGAGAAACAUUAAUGCAAUAUGUGUGUGUAUAUGUGGGUGCGUGGGUUAGUAAUUUUAUACUAUUCAUGACUAUAUUAGAUUGAUUAGAUUGAGAAAUUCUGUGUCUUAGAAUUUGAGAAAAAAAUUAAAAAUUAAAAUUUAUGAUUCAGAAUCAUUUAAGUAUACGAACCCUACAUAACUAGGUAAAUCUAAACUAUUUAUUUUGAAUUCUAAAAUUUUUCUUGAUUCAAAUUUUGAGACAAUAAUGCUGAGAUAACAUGGGCUUAGCAAAAUGGACACUUCAUUAACAACAUAUCAUGGCUGGUGUCACAUGGUCAAUUCUACACUCUUAAAACUCGCCUAUGAUGGCACUAAGUCUCAGCACUUAGUCUCAGUUAAACAACCACAAACACACAAAUUUGAGAUUUAAUAAAAUUGAAGCAACACACAAUAUUUAUGGGUCAAAACUCAAUAUUUUGAUUGCAUCAACAAUACAAGAAAUAUGUCAAGAUUUUCUCUACACCAGAAUAAUUUUCUGCCUUAGAAAUUUGCCUUUUUUGCCAAGAGUCUUGUCUAAUUUAUAGACAACAAGAGACUACAAAAAAUCAUACAAACGUGACAAAUGCCACAAAUUCAAUUAACAUCCCUAACUGCUAGGUUACAUGGCAUUAUAGAAUUAUGCUAGCACUUAAACACAUAAACUGCCUUCACACAAUUUUUCCACAUUCUGAAACUGCCUCCAAACAAGCAUAACUGCUUGUAAUUGCAAUGUUCAGCAUGCAAUCUGCCCCCAGUAUUUAUUAUAUUUUGGUUAGUCUUGUCCACGACUUAGUACCAAAAUAAAGUUGUAUAACAGCCAACCCAAGAUCUGUUGCUCUUUGCAGAAUUAAACUGUUGACAACUGCCCUGGUCGUUGUCUGCAUAUCCGUUGUCUAUCCAUUGCCAAUGCCAGACUUGAGUUCACACCAAACCACCCACAAACUGAUUGAUUCCCAUGAACAUUUUUAUUCCCGUAAUACUGGCAAGCAACGUUGCUGAUGUUAGUCCAUGUUCAUUGUUCACAACCCAUACUGUCACACAUUCGGGUACAACUACACUUGCGCCUUGCAUCUGUUCCGCAGUAUCACUGUCUUCAACAUUCGCCAUUUUGUCAAGGCAUGAAUUUUUCAUGCCUAUUCCAUCAGGGUUAGUGUGGGUGUCAUCACACAUCUAUGUCGAGAGACUAGGGUUCUAUCAGCCGACCAAUUGUAUCGAAAAAAAUAAUGAAAGAAAAUAUUUCUAUUUGCCUUGUGGAAAGAUAUAUAAUACACACCGUCUAUAAAAAUGUUACAAUCAAUUGUGCGAGUGUUACAAUCAGCUGUGGAAUAUUUUUUAUGGUAGCUUUGAGAAGUUAAUACAUAUAAAGUUGAAUAUUUAAGACUCCCCACAUAGUCAAAUUUUUCAGAGGGAGAUUGAUUUGUUAUAUUUGCAAUCUGUGCACUUAAUUAAUACGCAUCAAACUCGAUCACCUUAUUUCCAUAUGACAGUAUAAUAUCGUGAUGUCUAACUAAGUGAUCUUAGUACAUGACAGCAUUACCAUAACCGGAAAAAAAAUACGGACAAAACCUGCAAGUCUAACAGACCAUUUUCUUUGCAUCAUGACAGCUGCAUUGUUCAGUCCAAGAUAGCCAUAUAGGUGGGAUUGAAUAAAUAUAACAUGAACUAAAUGCAAAAAAUGAGAAGGGGCUAGACUUUGUUUGUGACAUAAUAUUAUUUUGACCACAUUUGUGUAUCCCAAAUAUCAAAGGGUCUUGUGUUACAAUCUUAAUUUUGAGAAUCGGGCGCAGAUUGGUGUGGGUUGACAUCUGUACAAAAACCUGAUGGCAAAGGCAUGAGAGAGUCAGGAUUGGACAGAGUCGGCAAAACUAGGCAGUUCUCGGUAGUUUAAUUUUGCAGAGAACAAUAGUUACAGGAAUGGUGUCUAGUAGGGAUGGCAACGGGGCUGGUUCGGCCUCCCCC